rnacentral:rRNA from 1 species
AUUGAACGCUGGCGGCAUGCUUUACACAUGCAAGUCGAACGGUAACAGGCCGCAAGGUGCUGACGAGUGGCGAACGGGUGAGUAAUGCAUCGGAACGUGCCCAGUCGUGGGGGGUAACUACUCGAAAGAGUAGCUAAUACCGCAUACGAUCUGUGGAUGAAAGCGUGGGACCGUAAGGCCUCGCGCGAUUGGAGCGGCCGGUGUCAGAUUAGGUAGUUGGUGGGGUAAAGGCUCACCAAGCCAACGAUCUGUAGCUGGUCUGAGAGGACAACCAGCCACACUGGGACUGAGACACGGCCCAGACUCCUACGGGAGGCAGCAGUGGGGAAUUUUGGACAAUGGGCGCAAGCCUGAUCCAGCAAUGCCGCGUGCAGGAAGAAGGCCUUCGGGUUGUAAACUGCUUUUGUACGGAACGAAACGGCUCUGGUUAAUACCCGGGGCUAAUGACGGUACCGUAAGAAUAAGCACCGGCUAACUACGUG